rnacentral:rRNA from 1 species
UACGAGGGGAGCUAGCGUUGUUCGGAAUUACUGGGCGUAAAGGGCGCGUAGGCGGUACUGUAAGUCAGAUGUGAAAGCCCCGGGCUUAACCUGGGAGGUGCAUUUGAAACUGCAGAACUUGAGAUCGAGAGAGGAAAGUGGAAUUACGAGUGUAGAGGUGAAAUUCGUAGAUAUUCGUAAGAACACCAGUGGCGAAGGCGACUUUCUGGCUCGAUACUGACGCUAAGGCGCGAAAGCGUGGGGAGCAAACAGG